rnacentral:rRNA from 1 species
UACGGGGGGGGCAAGCGUUGUUCGGAAUUACUGGGCGUAAAGGGCUCGUAGGCGGCCAACUAAGUCGGAUGUGAAAUCCCCAGGCUUAACCUGGGAACUGCAUCCGAUACUGGAUGGCUUGAAUCCGGGAGAGGGAUGCAGAAUUCCAGGUGUAGCGGUGAAAUGCGCAGAUAUCAGGAGGAACACCGGUGGCGAAGGCGGCAUCCUGGACCAAUACUGACGCUGAGGAGCGAAAGCUAGGGGAGCAAACGGG